GACGAACGCUGGCGGCGUGCCUAAUACACGCCAGUUGAGCGCUGAAGGUUGGUACUUGUACCAACUGGAUGAGCAGCGAACGGGUGAGUAACGCGUGGGGAAUCUGCCUUUGAGCGGGGGACAACAUUUGGAAACGAAUGCUAAUACCGCAUAAAAACUUUAAACACAAGUUUUAAGUUUGAAAGAUGCAAUUGCAUCACUCAAAGAUGAUCCCGCGUUGUAUUAGCUAGUUGGUGAGGUAAAGGCUCACCAAGGCGAUGAUACAUAGCCGACCUGAGAGGGUGAUCGGCCACAUUGGGACUGAGACACGGCCCAAACGCCUACGGGAGGCAGCAGUAGGGAAUCUUCGGCAAUGGACGAAAGUCUGACCGAGCAACGCCGCAGGAGUGAAGAAGGGUUUCGGAUCGUAAAACUCUGUUGGUAGAGAAGAACGUUGGUGAGAGUGGAAAGCUCAUCAAGUGACGGUAACUACCCAGAAAGGGACGGCUAACUACGUG
rnacentral:rRNA from 1 species